rnacentral:sRNA from 1 species
GCCAGGCAUGGUGGUGCACACUUGUAAUCCCAGCAACUCAGGAGGCUGAUACAGGAGGAUUACAAGUUCAAGGCCAGCCAGGGCAAUUUAGGGAGAUCCUGUCUCAA